rnacentral:rRNA from 1 species
AUUGAACGCUGGCGGCAGGCCUAACACAUGCAAGUCGAGCGAGCGGCGGACGGGUGAGUAAUGUCUGGGAAACUGCCCGAUGGAGGGGGAUAACCACUGGAAACGGCAGCUAAUACCGCAAACCAUCAGAUGUGCCCAGAGGGGAUUACCUAGUGGGUGGGGUAAUGGCUCACCUAGGCGACGAUCCCUAGCUGAGCUGAGAGGAUGACCAGCCACACUGGGACUGAGACACGGUCCAGACGCCUACGGGAGGCAGCAGUGGGGAAUUUUGCGCAAUGGGCGCAAGCCUGAUGGAGGCAUGCCGCGUGAGUGAAGAAGGCCUUCGGGUUGUAAAGCACUGUCAGCGGAGAGGCGUUACCCAAAGAGGAAGCAACGGCUAACUCCGUGCCAGCAGCCGCGGUAAUAC